GCUUGCGCUCGAUUGAGGAGUCUCAUCCGGUAGAGCGAAUGAUUAGAGGCAUUGGGGUCGAAACGACCUCAACCUAUUCUCAAACUCCAAAUAGAUGAGACCCCCGGCUUUCUUAAAAGUGAAGCCGUGGGAUGGUGAUCAGAGUGCCAAGUGGGCCAAUUUUGGUAAGCAGAACUGGCGCUGUGG
rnacentral:rRNA from 1 species